ensembl:lncRNA
CUGAAAUAUGUGAAAAGUGUUGCCCUGCAAAUGUCAGGGAAAGUAAUUAAGUGGAGAGAAAUGUAAGAAUAUAUCACUUGCUCUCUUUUUUCCCUCUCUUCAUAAGACGUAAAAAGAAGUUAUCUCCAGAUGAACACAGGCUAAGGCUGAGGAGAUGAAAAUCGUUGGGCCUGACAUGAGCAGGCUGUAAGGCAUGGCCAUCACAAACAGCUUGCCAAGUCUUCUGAGCUGUGCUUCCAGUGCAGCACAACUGGGAAGGUCAGCUGUGAGCAACAGAAAAAAUGUACCAAGUCCAGAAAGGUGAAGGAGGUGCGUACUGUCUGACGUUGGGCUGUCCUGAACUCAUCCAGCAAAACAUUUGAAAGUGCUUCCACAUCAAAAAAAGCCCCGUAGAACUGCCAGGAUGGCUGGUAGAUAAACCGAGUGGCUUAUGGAUGGAAAUGAGCCUGCUGCAGCCAACGGGACUCAACCCGAUGGGAGCAUACAGACAUAAAAGUUUCUCAGAGACAUGUUUGAACAACCACAUUAAAUCGGUUGCCCAGUAGGCUUUCUUUCAUAUGUCUGGAGAGCAGCAAGUGUAGUAAUUGUAUCUAGGGAAGGAAAAGUGGCAGCUACAAGAGCAGUAUAACAUGAAAAGGGAGAUAAGCUUUAAAACACUUAAAAAUAUUUUUAUUUUAUUUUAGUAAAAGAGAAUGAAAGUGUGGACUAAGCAGAUAAUACUAGGAAAUCAAACACGAGUCUGCUGCAGUUAACUAUGUUGGAAAAUCUCUUACCCUUGUUUGAUAAGAGCUGAUCUCUCAGGCAAUGAGAGUGCCAUAUAUACUUCAAAUAGCACAAAACAUUUGGUGUAUGACCCUCUAAAAAUAUUAGUUAGGCAGAGGAAAAGAGAAGGUGGGGAUUGGUAUAAGCAGUGUAGAGAACAUGCCAACUUCAGGAAAUUCUGUUUGGAGUAGAGAUAAAUAUCAGAGGGAUUCACAGGAAUCAGUCUUCAGACUGAUCUUACUUAGCAAUAACCAUGCA